GAGAACGACUUCACAAAAUUUGACGAGAGUUUCGACCCAAAGUCACACCACAUGGAGUUAGCAGAUGGAGCCAGGAUGAACAACGUGGCAUUAAAGCGGGGCGACGCAGAGGUGUUACUGCUGGAUGUGGAAGGGAAAUGCGUCAGGAUCACUCUAAAGAAGGCCUUGUUCAUACCAUCAUACCCACAGAGCAUCAUCUCCGUUCAAGCUGCUACAACAGAUGGGGCCAGGGUGAUCUUCCAGGAAGGACAGAAUGAACUGAUAAGCAAGGGUGGAGCUGUGUUCCGCAUAGAAGAGCAUGAGAGACUGUACUAUUUGAAAACGCCAUCAUCCAGUCUGUUCUCUCCACAUCCAUCACUGUUUGGUUGGGAUCUGCCAUGAAACUGGAAAGGAACAGACUACAAUGGACAGGCAGAACUGCAGAAAAGAUCAUUGGUGCCAACAUGUCCUCCAUCCAGGACUUAUACAAAACCAGAGUCAGUAAAAGGGCAGGAAACAUCACUACAGACCCAUCACAACCUGGAUACAACCUGUUCCAGCCCCUCCCCUCUGGUAGGCACUACAGAGCAAUGUACGCCAAAACAAACAGACACAGGAACAGUUUCUACCCACAGUCCAUCACUCUGAUGAAAAGUCAACUUCAGACACUUAGUGUCAGGCACAAUCCCUGUAUAACAACCCAGUAACUCUGACCCUAACAUCCACCUGCCUACUACUUAUUUAUUUGUCAUCUUGUAAUUCAGUGUUGUUCAUACUGUAUAUAUCAUCAUGGAUGUAGCACAAAAUUCUGGGCCCUGUACAUAGGCGGUCUCUGAGGGCCCCUCCCCACUUUAUUCAAGAUUCAAACAUUUUUGAGGGCCCCUCUACACAUUAGGGCCCUAUAUACUUAGUACCCCUUUUCCCCCCAGUCCAACGCCCCUGUAUAUCAUAUCCACCUACCUCAUGUACAUUACACCUGCGUACAUUACUUAUCAGUCAGGGAAAGGAUUUGUGUGGCACUUUCAAUCGAUCAACAACACAAAAUAUCCCUGGCUUAUAGCGUUGAAGGAACAUUGUUAUUGUGUGUACAUUCUUAUUUCUUUGGUACAUGUAAUGUCGUUGAUUUGGGCUUUGCGAUGUCUAUUUGUGUUGCAGCGUCUUGUCAUACUGCAUAAUGGUUCUGUAAAUCCUUGAUGGUUUCAUUCGCAAUAUAUACAUGUUUCCGUAAUUACUGGUGUUGUAAACCUCUUUUUAAAUUGCUUUAUUCCACAGUCACUGUGAAUAUGGGAUGGUUACUUCGAAUGACAAUAGCCUAAUAGCCCAUAGGAUUAGGCCGCCAUACAUGCUAGGAAUAUUAGCUUUGUGUCCAUCGUGCUGAAGUUACUAAUCGUUAUUGGUAAGAAUAAAGUGCCUCACUUUGAAAAUCAAAUGCCCGUCCAACACGUUUGUUUUGGUUACUAACCUGUAUCGACCUGACUGGUAAUAUUGAAGACACCUGGUGCCACACUCUAAUCAGCUAAUUAACUCAAAACACCUGCAAAGGCCUUUAUAUGGUCUCUCAGUCAAUUUCUGUAGGCUACACAAUCAUGGGGAAGACUGCUGACUUGACAGCUGUCCAAAAGACGACCAUUGACACCUUGCACAAGUAAGGCAAGACGCAAAAGGUCAUUGCUAAAGAUGCUGGCUGUUCACAGAGCUCUGUGUCCAAGCACAUUAAUAGAGAGGCGA
ensembl:lncRNA